rnacentral:rRNA from 1 species
CACGUAGGGGACGAGCGUUGUCCGGAUUCAUUGGGCGUAAAGCGCGCGUAGGCGGCUCGGAAAGUCGGUCGUGAAAUGCCGGGGCUCAACCCCGGGACUGCGUCCGAUACUCUCGAGCUGGAGGCAGGUAGGGGAGAUCGGAAUUCCUGGUGUAGCGGCGAAAUGCGCAGAUAUCAGGAGGAACACCGGUGGCGAAGGCGGAUCUCUGGGCCUUGCCUGACGCUGAGGCGCGAAAGCUAGGGGAGCGAACAGG